UUGGCCUUUUGGAUUAAUUGCAACAAAAAGGAAUUAUUUUACAUUUUAGAAAGAAAAUUCUGGGUUAUUUUCUCAGCUCUUGGCUGAACCCUAUUCUCCCUCUCCCUUCAAUCUUUUCACUUCAAAUCUUCCUAUCUUGUGUGUUGUUGAGCUUGUUGGAGCUUGGGGGAUUUUGGUGUGCUUUGAUUGUGAGAACUUUGAGGAAAGGGUAAAUUUGUCUCUGAUCAGCCAUGAGUAUGGGAGUUGGGCGAUGUAUGUACAUGUUCGGGCCACACUAGACCAAGCGGGUUGGGGUCUACCAGUGUUGAAACUUUUGUAACUCUAUUUUGCCACUUAGGUCGGCUAAGGAGAAAAGACUUGUAAUAUUUUGUAAAAUGAUUUUUGGGAUCCCGAAACAUGUAACUUUUGUUUGUAAGGUUAAAAUUAUUACAAGUUUAUUUUCA